CAGCUGUAAACUAUGUGCGUUAGGUGUGUCAGUGACCACGUGUCACUGAGGUGCCGAAGGGAAACCGUGAAACGCACCGCCUGGGGAGUACGGUCGCAAGGCUGAAACUUAAAGGAAUUGGCGGGGAGCACCACAACGGGUGGAGCCUGCGGUUUAAUCGGACUCAACGCCGGGAAUCUCACCGGGACCGACAGCAACAUGAAGGCCAAGCUGAAGACUUUGCCGGAUUAGCUGAGAGGAGGUGCAUGGCGUAGUCGUGU
rnacentral:rRNA from 1 species